rnacentral:rRNA from 1 species
CUCUUGUCGGCCCCUGAAACGCCGAUCGCGUGACUUAUUCGCACCCCUGGUCGUACCAAUAACCGCAUCAGGUYUCCAAGGUUAGCNGCCUCUGGUCAAUAGAAGAAUGUAGGUAAGGGANGUCGGCAAAAUNGAUCC